ACACAUAGAGUUUCGCGGAUUUCGAUUUACAUUUGUCCACCACAUUCGCGGCUCAUAUGCGGACAUACAGAAACUUGAAUGGAGCACGAGUAAACGAUUUGAAAGACGUACAUUACUUAUGCAACUGUCUAUCUUCAUGUAUGUAGAAGAAUGUAUAACUUAUUUGGCAUGCCUCUUAAAAAGUUGUCUUAAUAAAGUAACUGGAACAAAGGAGGGGCUCAACGACCUUUGAUGCCUUAACAAACAUUACCGCAUAUUUCUGUGUCAAAGGUAGCAUUCAGCAUUGGACAUUUGCAUAAUUUUUUUAACGGAUAUUUGUAAAGCUUUCGUCUUUCAUCCACAUAUUAAGCUAAGUUAGUUAGUAGUUAGAUUUAAGCGUAGGUUUGGUAGUUAAACAAACACCGACUAUGUUUAUUGUUAGUCACAGUAAAAGCGUUUUUACUCCGCGGACUUGGAGGGCUCCUGCUGGCCACAAGCGGAUUUGAUAAUUUCUUAAGACAACAUUUAUAAAUAUGCGACCCAGAUACAGAAAAACAUUAACCAGACAACGGACUAAAAUACGGCUUUUCCUUAGGGUAAAACUAAGACUGGGCUUGACAAAAAUGUGCUUUUUGGUGCUUUGGUGUGGCCAGUGCUCCUUUUGACAGGGCCAGUAACAAUCUGAACAAAAAGUCCUUAAUUUAAAAUAAUUUCUUGUCAUUUUGAAUACGAUGGAGACUAAAUGAAGAGUUUGGUUCCAAAACUCCAUUUAAAAAAAAUAAUUGUCAAAACAUGUUUAUUAUUAUGUUAUAAUGUUUUUAUUGUGUUUUAUUGUGCUACUUAGCUGUAUUUUUUAGGUAUUAAAGGCUUAAAUCAAAACAAACCAACUGCAGUUUGAUUGAAUUGGAAUGCACAAUCAAAAAACGAGAUUUUUAUUCAAGUUAUCUUGUUUUGGAACCAAACUCUUCAUAUUUUCUUUAAAUAAUGUUUAUCUUGCACUAAACCGUAACAAUUUUGUGUCAAAGUAAAAUAAAUCCAGUUUAUAUAUACCUGAAUGUUGUGUAAAUCAAAGGAAUAUCACAGACAAUCUUAGGGCGUGGGGCCCCAGGUCAUUGGAUUUUGCUUAGAGCCCCCACAAUGGCACCCCUUAGAGGCUUAACGUCUGAAUUAAUCUGAUCGGAUUUAAUCAUGUGGAAUCCUGCAAGGUCCCGCCUUUCAGCACUUCAUGUUCGGAGCUACGCAAACAUUGGUCGAACUGCAUCUCAAUCAUUAUCCUCAGCAUCACAGCAUAUGAAAACGACCGGAGGUUUCAGCUCCGCCCUGCAUUAUUUAGUGCCUUUAUCAAGUUCAUUUCAGUUCCAAAGCCACAGCGCAGAUAAAAGCAAACAUCAGACUGCAAGGUCCAUGAGCACUGAGAUGGGGAAAAGUCCAAUACUCUCUGUUCAGCCCAGUCGUGGUCUGGUGGAUGAGAUGUUUCAGAUCGUCAUAAUGAAUUUAUUGCCAAAUCAGAAGGUGACGCUGCAUUCUUUACAUCAGUCAGAAGAUAAGGAUUUCUGGGAGGCGUUUGGACACUACAUCAGUGAUGAACAUGGAACAGUGACAGUGUCCAAAGAUGAAAGUUUGGGAGGCACUUAUGAAGGGACAGAGCCGAUGGGGUUGCUGUGGAGCAUGAGGCCUGUACCAGGAAGUCGAAGUGGACUCAGGUUGCGCAAGAAGGAUGUGCUCUCACCAAUGGUGGUUCACAUUUCCUUAUACAGUGGUCAUUUAUCUGAAGGCUUCAGACAGCAAACAGCUUUGGCAGCCAGGGUCACAGAACGCUGGUACAUAGCACCAGGUGUGCAGAGGGUGGAUGUUAGAGAAAAAGGAGUUCGAGGAACAUUAUUUUUUCCUCCAGGCCCAGGACCUUACCCAGGAGUGAUGGACUUGUGGGGUGGAGGUGGUGGUUUAGUUGAGUAUCGCACAGCCCUGCUUGCAUCUCAUGGUUUUGCCUCAAUGGCAAUACAGUACACCAAUCCCAAUGAGGAGAGAAGACAGGAUAUUGAUGCUUCUUACUUUGAAGAAGCAUAUAAGAUCCUCCAGAAUCAUCCGAAGGUACAAAAGGAUCGACUGGCUAUGCUUGGGUUAUCAUUUGGAGGUGUAGUUACCCUCAGCAUGGCAGUCAACUCCAAAAUCAUCAAGUCCCAGUGCUGUGUGUGCAUUAGUGGGAGUCAUGUGGGUUCUGUGGAUAAAUCUCUCUUUAAAAUAUUUGAGGAGAUUAAAAGAAAUGUGAAUACGAUGCGUGUGAAUGGGGAUAACCAGUUAAUCCACAGAAACUUUAUCCAGCCGAUUCCCUCAGACCUGACUCAAAAAAUGGACGUUGGGAAAAUAAAGUGUCCCCUUCUGUUGGUGAACGGUGGUGAUGAUGAGACCUUGCCUGCUGUUGAAUCUGCUGAAGAUAUGAAAGAGAUUAUGAAGAAAGCAGGAAAUCUUCACUUGUUGGAAGUCCUGACCUAUCCUGGUGCGGGUCAUCUGAUUGAACCUCCUUAUACACCUCACUUCCGUGCAAGCAACUUCAUCAUUCAAGGCGGUGAGAAAGAACAUUUGGAUGGUGCCAAACCCUGACAAAAGGUAGCUGUAUACAGCCUCCAAAUGGCUGAAUCCAGAGGAAACCUGACCAUUCAGUUGUCAUGUUAUGGGGUGGACAGACCAAACCGCAUGCAUAUGCACAAGAGGAUGCAUGGAAAAAGAUUUUGGCAUUUCUGCAGAAGCACCUCUACUUUAGUUCAAGUGGUGCGGUUAAAGCCAGACUUUAGA